rnacentral:lncRNA from 1 species
GAGGGUGGCAGAGCCCAGCCACCAGGGUCUGCUCCAUGCCUGGUCCCUGGAGAGGCCCUCACCCUCUCUGCUUUCACCCAACCCGACUGACACGGAGUAGGAGGUGGGAAUCAUGCAGGCAGGGAGCUUAGGAAGCCUGGUUCAAGCACACACCUACACUUGAUGGCAGGGAAAUAAUUAUUUCCUGCAGAAUGGGCUGCAAAUGUAACAAACCCCCUGACCUUCAGUCUGAAGAGAGAGAACUAUCAACCACACAGAAGCAAAGAUCCAGAGAAAUACUGAGGGAUGCUACCAGACACUCAACCAGGGCCACUCUCCGAGAUUCCAGCCAGCCACACAGCAAAGAUGCUGGCCGGGGACACUGCCCCAAACCACCAGACAGAACCCCAAAGAAACAGCUCCACACACAGUGGAAGAUACACCAGAGACUGUUAGAAGGACCAUCAGACAAAGCCAAAGAGACAGGUAGAUGAAACCAGAUAACCAGCCAGAGAGGUGGUCAGAGAACAGCGACACAAUCAAAGGACCCACCAGAAACACUGUAAAGGACUCAGCUAGACCCAGGCAGAUACACUGCCGAAGGACGAGCAAGGAGCACAGGCAGUGAAGCCGUCGGCGACAAAGCCAGAGAGCUAAGACACUGUCAGAAACAGUGCCAGAGAAACCGUCUGACACACAAGCAGAGAAAUACCAGAGAAACUGAUAGACGCAAACAGGCGUACACCCAGAAAAACAGCUUGAGAGAAGAGCCAGAGCCACAGCCAGAUGCUCAGUCAGGAAGUAUCCACACCACUCCAAACACUGCCAGAGACACUGUCAGACACACAGUCAGACACACUGCCAGAGACACCGUUAUAAAGACUGCCAGAGAAACAGCCAGACACACAGCCAGAAAAACUGACAGAGACGCAGUGCCAGAUAUACCCCGAGAAAGUGCCAGAGACUCAGCUCCAGACAGUGCAGACAUAGCAUAACAGAGACAAAUGUGGGUAUCAGCCUGAAGCAGCUGCGGAGAGGCUGGAGAGCAAUGAACUUCCUGGGGCUUCCUGUGGGAGAGGGCUCCUGCCUGCCUUUUGCUACCCUUGACCCUCUCCAGGAAAGUCCCCUCCUCUGAGCCUGCUUUUCCUUUCCUCCCUGUCACAGCCACAGGUGCCCUGACUGCCCCUCCCUGGCACAGUAAAUCUCUCUGUGUCCUAAGUGGCCCCAGCUACCCUUUGCGCAUCAGUGACUCCUGGAGCCUUAGCUACCACUUGGCCUGGCUCCUUCUGACCCUCAGCCCCUCACCACUCUUCAGCUACUCCUCAGGCCUAGGAGGUUAAGACAAUGGCCAAAGUUACACAGCCAGCAAGCCGUGCAGCCAGGAAAUGAACCCAGGACUGCCUGAAUUCAGAGCUGGUGUAAGAGAGAGAAAACGAGACCAGCAGCCAGAGGCCUACCUGGUUCCCCAACCUCAGCCCUGGCCAGUCGCCCUCACACCCUCCCCCACUGCCUCUGCCAUCUGUCCAUGUCUUUCUCCUCACAGCCAGGAAGAUCCUCCGCCUCAGUGCCAGGCCACUGCCCACCACAUGGGAGCAGGAACCAGGGCAUGGGCAGGCAGAAGAGCAGGCGGAGUGGCUGAGGUUAGAUCCAAGGAUGGGAGUGUUCAGGGAGAGGAGGAAUGGGUGGCCUCUACUCCCAGCUCCUUCCUGGUCCACACAAGCACACACUCCCACGUGCAUGCGUGCACGCGUGCGCAUACACACACACACACACACACACACACACUCAGGCCCCCGCGGGGGGAGGGGUGGCUUCUUCAUCAAAGUCGCCUCCAUCAGCCUGAUGAGUUACUGUAAGGGCCGGGCCCUGGGCCAACGGGGCUGCAGCCACGGGAGACGGGUGCUGCUGAGAGUGAGUGCUGCAGAGUGGGGAUGGGGUGCCAAGACAGACACUGCAGGGUUGGGGGCACCCAGAAAAGGGAGAGACUCAGGGAGGAGAGACAAGAGGGAGGGAGAGAGGAGGAGCUCUGAGUGGAGACCCAGAGGGACAAGGAGAGGCUGAGAUAGGAAGAAAUAGAAGAGACGCAGGGGAAAAGAUGGGGCAUAUAGGAGAUGGGCAGAGACUCAAGGGCAGAGGGAGAGACAGAUCCAGAGAGAAGAGAGGAGACCCCUGGCAGGGUCUCUGCCCACCCUAGAGCAUCUCCGUGGCCUGCCCAGCUCCUCUAGCACAAUGGAGGAUGGGAUGGUGGUCAAUGCAAUGUGAGGCAAGAACAGGGCCUUCCUGGAGGCUGGAAGGAUUCUUGCUGGGGAUCUAGGACCCCAACCCCUAGGGUACAAGGGUAAAACCCCAUCUCUGCCCCUGCCCCUGCCCCUGCCCUGCCCCUGCAGAUCCAGAAAGCCCCAGGCCAGUUUCACUUCCCCCUUUCCUCAGACUCCCAACUGGGCCCAAUGCCCAGUUUGGGAGGCUGAAGCCAGAGGCAUCCAGGACACACCUCCAUCCUGCCCUGGCUCACUCCAGGCCACCCAUCCCAGGGCAAAGAGCAUCUUUCCUGGGAAUUUUCCAAGUCCACACCCCAUGGCUCUGAGAUAGAUGUGCAGGAUAAAUCCCAUAGAGCCCCAGAUAAGGGCUCUGCAAAUUAGCCCAGGAUUCCUCUCAGCCCCUCAAAGAGGUCAGCCCCAGAAUGAGGAGGGAACAGAGGGGGUACCCCAUAAGCAAGGAAGGAGCCUAGCGCCCAAAAGCCCCUGAGCCCCUUGUCAGCACAAGGGUCCCUGCACCUCUCCCAGCACAGAACCCUAGUGUCAUCAUUACUCCCACACAGGUAACACAUUAAGAGUCAAAUUCUGGGGCCCCAACUUACUGCCAUUGUCCCACUGUGGCAUAAAGAUACCAUUACACAAUGAUAACAACACCCAUUGAAAAUGACACAGUUGUACCGUUGACAAUGACACACAGGGAUGUUGACAGUCACCACGAUGACAAUAAUGCAGUGAGUGACAGUCACAUACAUUGACACCAACAAACGGGGCAAUGAUACCAGUUGACACUGACACAGUCACAGUGAUGGUAACCUCAGAAUCAAAGAUGCAAUGAGACUCAGUCACAUCGAGUCACACUGACGGUGACAUCAACACAGUGACACAGCAAUGUUGAUAGACUCAGUAACAGUCUCACAGAAUGAUACUAGUCCACAGCAAUACUGGCAGCCCUGAAGUCUGACAGCCGCCGUCGGUAACAAACAGACACAGCGACAGGCUCCAGGUCAGGAACCCCUGUUACCCAGUUUAAGAAUCUGGCUUAGGACCCAAGACCCAAGAACCGUCUUGCCAGUCCCAGCAAUGUUCCGGGUUGCCCUGUACCCCUCCCCUCACCCCAUGCCCAGCUGAGGGCAGAACCUGGGGGAAGGAGGUGUGAGUUUUGGAAAGCCUCUAUUUAUCCCUGCAGAAUUACAGCAGUUUAGAUUGUAGAAGGCCAACCCUGGGGAAGCCCUGCCGCCAUCAGGUCAGGGUGGGGGAUAAUGAGCACCACUAACUGCGUCUCAGCUGUAAUUGUGUGUGCGGGUUGAUCUGUAAUAGUGUGUUGCGCACUUCAGGGUUUGGGUUGCUGUGGGCACGCCGAGGCUCAGGUAGGCUCAGUCUGGCCUGGACAAUGAAGGAUCAGGGGGGCCUCAAGGCAAGUGACCUCGAAGCAAGGUUACUACUCCAACUCCGAGGCAGGGAACUGAAAUCCAAAGAAGGUCACCGGAUGGACUCCCCCCAUUGCCAGGCGUCAGGGUGGGUUCAGAACAUCCAUCUGAUGAAGGGCAUCCGGCCCAGCACAGAGCGGAGGGGACUCCCCACAGCUUCCAGUCCCCGCUCUGACUCCCACAGCCCAGACUCCAGAAUCCCACAGUGAGGGGAAAAGGCACCUUUUAUCCUGGAGCCUCAUCUCCUUCACCUCUCCCCACAGCAGCCUAGAGGGCCCAUCUCAGGAAUGAGGCAAGAAUGCAGGACACAGCAUGGACUCACUGAUUCAAACGCCUGGGGACUCUAGAAGCCUCAGACCUGCAGAGGAAUUAGGUUGGAGCAGAGAAACAGAGAUACAUAGACUUGGAGAUGGAGAAGGAAAUGAGAGACAGAGCGGGGGCAAAGACAGGGACAAGGACAUGGUGGGCAGGGAGGAACAGUACUGGCUGAGGGGGGAGCCUGGAAGAGAUAGUCAGGGCAGGCGGGAAGCUCCAGGACAGGGAGGAGGGGCUGAGGCUGGGAGGCCCCCAGAUCCCACCAGGCCUAGGCAGCCUGGACAGCGUGGGCGGUGGGGGCGGGGGCAGAGGCCUGAGCGGUCCAGAGGCUUGGGGGGUGGGGGGACCAGGCCGAGGAGGGAGGCCUGGCCCCUGGCAGCUGGCCCGGCAGGCCCCUCACCAGGGAAGGGCGGGCCUAGGUCAGGGGCCAGCUCGUGGGCUGGGGCCGGCUAGCCAUGGGCGGGCAGGUUCCCACUCCCUAUGGUGUUUCUCCCUCCUGUCUCCGAAUCUCUGAUCUCUAGCCCCUUCUCUUUUCCCUCCUCUCUGAAUCCAGACCUGCCUCUCCUCUCAGCUCUCUCAGUGACCCCACCUCAAGUGGCAUAGGGCUCCAAGCUGUGCCUGGGUUCAGGAUUCAAGCUUUACCUCCUCCUGGGCUACCAUGUCCCCACCCACGCCAAGGGCAAGCCUCAGUCCUCAGGGGAAAUGACCCUACCCAAGCUUAGGCCCUGUCCUCCUCCUUAGAAGGGGGCAGAAUAAGCCAAGCACCAGUAGGAAGGGGCCAGGAGGGAGGCAGGGGGAGUGGUCCCCCAGCUCUCGACGCUGGCUGAGGCUGUGGAAAAGGAGGCGGCCCAAUUGAGUGAGUUGGGGGGGUUGGUAUCCGCACCUGCUGUUGUGACCUCCACAGCCGGAGAUGGGGUCCUGGAGGGGACAAGAUUCCGAUGGAUUUUGGCAGCGGCCUGGACUCAGUGCUCAAAACCCCCAUUCCCAGCCUCUUGCACCGUGGGGACCCUGAGAUCAGCAUGUGCGUGCCCUGCUGCACGUGUGUGCGGGCGUGUUGUUGGGGGAGCCUGGGGCCCUCCCAUGAUGGGCCUGGCUGGGCAGCUGGGGAGGCAUCCUGGGGAGAGAGGAAUCUGUCACCAGCCUGUGCCCACAUGUGGAGGCCCACUUGGGGCCCCGCAUGCUGCCUGGUGACCUGGGCAUGGGCUUGUAUAUGCACAUACAUGCAGGCCUGUGCUUAAGUAGCCCUCUAGAUGCAGAAGGCCUGGGCUUUCACCCUCAAAAGUCAUCUGGUCCAGCCCCCUGCCUCUUGAAUGGAGAGGAGGAAGGGGCAGAUAAGUUCGUAUCCUCCCUUUGGACACAUAGGCUCUGGAGAGCUUCACAGAACCUGAGGUACUGGUGCCAAAUCCCCCAGCCCCCAACCCCAGUCCAGUCUCUUCUGGCUUCCAGAAGAAUCAGGAAGCCCCCUCCACCCAGGAAAGGCACACACACCAGUUAGGCUAAGUCUGUGGGGAGCGGGGUACUGCUCCUCUUGUAGGGACAGAACGCUGUAGCACAUUAGACAGCUGGAAGAACUCAACGAAAGGCAGGGGAUGGGCAGAGCAAUAGGGUUGACUGAGACUUCCCUUAGCAGGGGGGUGGGGUAAGGAAAGGCCCGAAGCGGACGCCGGGGACAGGAAGGAGGCUGCAAGGCAGGGCCCUCCGUGGAGACAAGGAUGGAUAGAAUGGCUUUCCAGAGUUGGAGAUUAGGACAAAGACCUAUUUGCCUCAGCAUCUCCUACCACACCCACCCCUGGCCCCAUCACUGCUAUGGUGCAGACACACCCUUGAAUCCAUACACAGAGGCCCAUGCAAGCAAGCUCACACACACACCCACCCACCCACCCACCCACACACACACACACCCCGGGGGGUGGGGGCAGCAGUGCAUGUGAUGCAUCGGCUUAUAACAAAAAAAACCUGAAGAUGGUCGUUCUGACAGAGCCAGAGUUGGGUGGGGGGAAAAGAAGCUUCAAAUGUCUUCUGUGUUCUGUUCUCUCUGCCCCCUAACGUGCAUAUGCACCAUGCACGCUACUUCUGAGGAGCCUCCUGGUCUGCUGGGCAAGACCGAGCCAUCCUUCCUCCCCUUUCCUCCCCUCCUCACAGUGGGGAAGCCACAGCAAUCUGUUCCUGAUGGGUAAACACAGGCGUGAGUACGUGCACACACGUGCUCACACACACACCAGCCACUCAGGCCACAGAGCACCCAGCGCUCACUUCACCCCGAGACAGAGCACACACUUGGGCUCUCACUACACCCGGCAGAGCUCUCAAAGCCCCCGCCUCCUCAGACACACAGGGCCAGAGCUUCACAGACACACCCAGGCAGCCUCUCGCAGACACUGGCAUUCAGAGCCUACCAUCGUGGCCACACAUCAGGGCCUCCCACAUGGACACCCACUCCCACAGCCCCGUACACGCUGGUGUGCGUGCACACAUUACAGUCACACUCACACACACAGACUCCCUCACACAGCCAUGGUCUCACAUAUGGAUACCAUCACACACUCCGAACAGUCAACCUUCCACACAGACACCAUUGUACACUUCCAGAAGCUCAGGGCCCCCAGUCGCCCUUGGCCUCUCACGCCCCGACACCGGCAAUGGGAAACACCCACAUACACACCCUGAACAGCCACACUGUGCCAGCACCUCAGGUUGCCUAGCCGUGCCUGAGGGGAGGGACAGAAAGCCUAGGGAUGCCUAGGGCAGGAAAGAAAAGGAAAGGAAAUACUUCGUUGGUCCCUAAAAAGUGAGAAAAUAAAUGAUUAUUCCCCAGGCAGCUCCUUCUUCCCCAAACCCUGCUUUCAACAGCAUUAGGGAAUGAAGGGAGAUCCAUUCCAGACAGGAGAGGUGAAGGAAGUACCUGGGGGAGACAGAUGGUGGCACUGGAAUCAGCAAGAGCCAGAAAGGCCCAGAAAUCAGCCGACUUCCCAGGCCCUUGCUGCCUUCCCUCAUCACCCUCUCUUCCCCACGAUGCGGAUCGGCAGCAGCUCUCAGCCUAGCUAUCUGCUGUGUGAUCCCAAGGCCUCUUCAAAACCUCUAUGUGCCCAUAACUGUCUAGCGGGCACCCAGAUGUCUGGCCUGGCUGCAGAAAGGGCAGGAGAAGGGAAGGAGAUGAGACCUCCACUCCAGCCCCCCAGCCCCCACCAAAGCCCUGGCAUCACUGUCAGCCCACAGAGAGGUAGGGCAGAUGCCCAGCAGCAGGAGGGGAGCAGGCAGAGCCAGCGGUGCUCCUCUAACUAACCACUGAGGAGGAGAGUCCUAAGGUGUCCUUGGACCCUGCAGCCCCGCCCCCAUCACUGGAGGAGUAGACGCGGAGUCGCUGUCCAGUCAGAAUGGAAUCCAGGCUGUGCUGGCCAGGCCCCAGCCCAGGAAAGAUCGGCAAUGCUGCAGACAUCCUUGCCACUUGCCACUCCAGGUGUAGCUGGGGCCCUGAUGCCUCCAUCCUAAAAGGAGCCUGACGUGACUCCACGGAAGACAGGCAGGACCUAAGGAAACCAGGCAGGGGUAAUGCCAUAAAGCCAGGUGAUAGGGACUUCGGGGAAGGGGGCAGUGGGGACAAAAGAAACCAGGCAGCAGGGUGUAAGGAAACCAGGUGACAGGGCCCCAAAGAAGGUAGGUGGUGGGAGCCAAAUGAAAUCAGGCAGUGGGGACUAAAGUUAGCUAGGAGGUGUGGACAAAUGAAGCCAGGCUUUGGGGAUCAAAUGAAACCAGGCAAGAGGCCCACAGGAUGUGAGAAAAGAAAGAUAUCAGGAGCUCAUCCCCUCUGUCUAGAUGUCACCCCCACACGCUGGGCCUCUCUCUCUGUAGCCCCCCUUCCACUCAGGCGGUGGUCCCCUCCCCCAGGCCAAUGGACACAGCCAGAGCCCCCUCCCCUCUCAGAGGCCUGGUCCGAUUGCAGCCAAUGGGCCCCGGCCCCAUCCCUGGGACCUCAGGAAGUCCCAGUCCCUCCCACCGGCUGCAGAGGCAGGGGGGCUGGGGGGAGAGACAGAGAAGAGAAAAG